AGCUCUUACAGUUCUUUUACAAUUUUUCUAGCAGGUUUUCAAACUUUGGUCAGAAAACUCAU
ensembl:snRNA Gm22841 U7 small nuclear RNA